UUGGGUGAGCAGCUGUACCAGUUUGCCCAGGACUCAGUGGUCUCACAGAACAUGGGACUUAUUGUUUUAAACCAGGAGAGUCCCAGGGAAACUGGGACAGGUUGGUCACCUUGGGCUUAG
rnacentral:miRNA from 1 species